GCUCAAACCAAGGAGAGCACGACAGAGGACCAAGAAUGAUAGGAUCUGUCGCAACUCUCAAGAUCAAGCUGGAGAAAGAGAGAAACCUGAAGAAACAACUGUCAUCUGGGCUAAACACCAGGUUGACCAAGAGAAACCACUCAGCUAACGUUAAAACUGCUAACACUGCUGAGAGAAGGGUGCAGGAAGAACAAGCUCCUAAAGAGAACUCAAGGAAAGACUGAAGUCUUCUCUACAGGCUUUUCAAGUGAGGUGCAAGCCACACUGGGUGCUCCAGAAAGGCUGGGGACAAAUCAACAUGGAUGACUCAGGCCGGAGAGGAUCUUCGGCUUACUGAACCAGCCAGUGAAAAGGUGAAUAUACUCUGGCUGAGGAUACUCUGGCUGAGGAGGAUCUUCACCCUGGUGAACCAGAUCAUCAGACUGCUGAACCAGCAAGCUGGGUUGUGGCUUAUGGCCAGAUGUGGCGGGAAAUGACGAAGCAAGAUGGUCCUGUGCUUUGCAGCAACAUGCCCAUCAUAUAAACCGAAUGGGCCCUUGAACACCUGAUGGAGGAGCAGAGGUCAUCAGCGAACAAAGAGGGACCAGUCAGUGAAAGGGCAAACAUGGCGGAGAAAACUGAGGCCGGAGAGGAUGUGUGGCCUGAUAA